rnacentral:tRNA from 1 species
UCCAUGGCUCAGUGGCAGAGCACCUGCUUUGCAUGCAGAAGAUCCCAGGUUCAAUCCCUGGUAUCUCCA